GCCCUGUCUAUUGCAAAGUACUAUUUAUUAGUGCUGACAAAAUGUUGCCUUGUUAUUACUCUAUCCUACAGUUAAGUACAUUGAAGGGUCUUGAGUGUACCUCUGCCUUGUCUUCUUUCAUCUGGAAGAGCUCUGAGGAGCCAGACCGUCUUAUGAGAUGCUGUGGUGCUCAUCCCACUUCCAAUCCCAUCAGGAUUGUCAAGCCUUCUGCUUUUCCCAAUGGACUCUUCUGUGCACUUGUAUACACUGGAACUUGGACAUCCCUGAACCCCAUUUGGAAAGAAAGGGAAUCCCAGCCAACACUUCCUCACUCGGUUAAAACAAGGUCUGCUGUUCAAAGAGGUAUGGAGAGGUCUACAGGCCAAUAACCACUGCUCUGAUUUUGUAACUCAGAGGCAAUUUUUACUCAUUGUAACACUGUGACUGCUGUGGAAUCAGUGAUGCUGCAUCAGCAUAGAAAAAAGCUUGUCCCAAUGGCUCCUUGUUUUUCCUGUCCAACACAGCUCUCUGCAAAGGCUGGCUUUCUGAAGCAAGCUUCUUUUG
rnacentral:lncRNA from 1 species